rnacentral:rRNA from 1 species
AUUGAACGCUGGCGGCAUGCUUUACACAUGCAAGUCGAACGGUAACAGGCCGCAAGGUGCUGACGAGUGGCGAACGGGUGAGUAAUGCAUCGGAACGUGCCCAGUCGUGGGGGAUAACGCAGCGAAAGCUGCGCUAAUACCGCAUACGAUCUAUGGAUGAAAGCGGGGGACCGAAAGGCCUCGCGCGAUUGGAGCGGCCGAUGUCAGAUUAGGUAGUUGGUGGGGUAAAGGCUCACCAAGCCAACGAUCUGUAGCUGGUCUGAGAGGACGACCAGCCACACUGGAACUGAGACACGGUCCAGACUCCUACGGGAGGCAGCAGUGGGGAAUUUUGGACAAUGGGCGCAAGCCUGAUCCAGCAAUGCCGCGUGCAGGAAGAAGGCCUUCGGGUUGUAAACUGCUUUUGUACGGAACGAAACGGCGAGCUCUAAUACAGUUUGCUAACGACGGUACCGUAAGAAUAAGCACCGGCUAACUACGUGCCAGCAGCCGCGGUAAUACGUAGGGUGCAAGCGUUAAUCGGAAUUACUGGGCGUAAAGCGUGCGCAGGCGGUUUUGUAAGACAGGCGUGAAAUCCCCCGGGCUCAACCUGGGAAUUGCGCUUGUGACUGCAAAGCUGGAGUGCGGCAGAGGGGGAUGGAAUUCCGCGUGUAGCAGUGAAAUGCGUAGAUAUGCGGAGGAACACCGAUGGCGAAGGCAAUCCCCUGGGCCUGCACUGACGCUCAUGCACGAAAGCGUGGGGAGCAAACAGGAUUAGAUACCCUGGUAGUCCACGCCCUAAACGAUGUCAACUGGUUGUUGGGUCUCUUCUGACUCAGUAACGAAGCUAACGCGUGAAGUUGACCGCCUGGGGAGUACGGCCGCAAGGUUAAAACUCAAAGGAAUUGACGGGGACCCGCACAAGCGGUGGAUGAUGUGGUUUAAUUCGAUGCAACGCGAAAAACCUUACCCACCUUUGACAUGUACGGAAUCCUUUAGAGAUAGAGGAGUGCUCGAAAGAGAGCCGUAACACAGGUGCUGCAUGGCUGUCGUCAGCUCGUGUCGUGAGAUGUUGGGUUAAGUCCCGCAACGAGCGCAACCCUUGCCAUUAGUUGCUACGAAAGGGCACUCUAAUGGGACUGCCGGUGACAAACCGGAGGAAGGUGGGGAUGACGUCAAGUCCUCAUGGCCCUUAUGGGUAGGGCUUCACACGUCAUACAAUGGUCGGGACAGAGGGUCGCCAACCCGCGAGGGGGAGCCAAUCCCAGAAACCCGAUCGUAGUCCGGAUUGUAGUCUGCAACUCGACUACAUGAAGUCGGAAUCGCUAGUAAUCGCGGAUCAGCAUGUCGCGGUGAAUACGUUCCCGGGUCUUGUACACACCGCCCGUCACACCAUGGGAGUGGGUUUCACCAGAAGUAGUUAGCCUAACCGCAAGGGGGGCGAUUACCACGGUGGGGUUCAUGACUGGGGUG